CCAAGAAAUGUGGAGCAAGAGCUGUCAGACAAGUUACCAAAGAGGUUAAUUGGCUUGUGGCAGUCAAGCGUUCAUAGCGACGUUGCCUUUUGAUCUCUCAAUGUCGGUGCUUCCUUUCAUUGAGACGCGUAAGUCCCGAAGUGGCGGACUGUUCAC
rnacentral:rRNA from 9 species